ACUCGCUGAAUGUCCCCGCUCUGGGACAAUCCUAGGGCACAUAGAAAGCGCUUCACAAAUGGACGUACAUUGUCUCGGAUCUACUGCUUAUCAACCAUGAGGCUCUGGUCUCUGAGCCUCAGUCUGCCCACAGGUGGCUGUGAGGAUUUCAGUGAAAUAAUCCAUGGAAAGCACACAGCAGAUCUUCAAUAGAUGAUAUUUAUGGAAGAGUCUUUAAGAUGUGUAAAAAGAGAUACUAAUCUGAGGAAAUUUGAGGGCAAGAAAGAUAUUAAGGUCUGGGUAGCUUGUAAUCUUUUGUAUGCUUUGUAUUUUCCAAAUCUUGAGUUUUUCAAAACCAAAUACAACUGAAAGUAAAACUACAUCCAUCCCCAGCAAAAGAAAAAAAGAAAUAUCAGCUAUUAUCUCCAUCUGGCAAACUGAAAGUCACCCAGUCGUGUCCAGCUCUUUGGGACUCCCCCCUGUGGGAGACAGUCCAUGGAGUUUUCCAGGCAAGAGUACCGGAGUGGGUUGCCAUUUCCUUCUUCAGGGUGUCUUCCCGACCCAGGGAUCGAACCUGGGUCUCCGGCAUUGCGGCCAGAUGCUUUACCAUCUGAGCCACAGGGAAGCCCCCAUCUGGUGAAGGAAGGAGGAAAGGAAGCUCAUUUAGCUUUCAUUGCUGUUUCCAGGAGAGGAUCCCAAUCCAAGGAGAAGAUCCCAGUCUGAGGAGAGGGAAGAGGCCGGCAGAAUGGGAAAGACUGAGGUAUAAGGAAAGCGAUCAGAAGCAAAGGACCUGUGAUCUUGUUUGCAAGCACAGUGCUCGUCCCUGAUACCCCAUGGGCGUGCAGUCUCCUCGUGCAAUGUAUGGACUUCAGUGCUCGAGGGACACACUAUGGAAAUGAUGUUAGACAAAAAGCAAAUUCGAGCAAUUUUCUUAUUUGAGUACAAAAUGGGUCGUAAAGCAGCAGAGACAACUGGCAACACCAACAACACAUCUGGCCCAGGAAUGCACAGUGCAAUGGUGAUUCAAGAAGUUUUGCAAAGGAGAUGAGAGGCUUGAAGAUGAGGAGUGCAGUGGCUGGCCAUCAGAAGGUGACAACAAGCAAUUGAGAACACUCAUCGAAGCUGAUCAUCUUACAACUACACCACAAGUUGCCAACGAACUUAGUGUCAGCCAUCCUACGGUUGUUCGGCAUUUAAAGUAAAUUGGAAAGGUGAAAGACUUGGUAAGUGGGUGCCUCAUGAGCUGACUGCAAAUAAAAAAAAAAAAUCAUCAUUUUGAAGUGUCAUCUUCUCUUGGUCUAUGCAACAACAACAAACCAUUUCUCAGUUGGGAUUGUGACCUGCGAUGAAAAGUGAACUGUAUACAACAACCAGCAAUGAUCAGCUCAGUGGUUGGACAGAGAAGCUCCAAAGCACUUCCCAAAGCCACACUUGCACCAAAAAAUGGUCAUGGUCACUGUUUGCUGCUGCUGAUCUGAUCCACUGCAGCUUUCUGAAUCCCGGUGAAACCAUUAUAUCUGAGAAGUAUGCUCAGCAAAUCAAUGAAAUCACCAAAAACUGCAGCCGGUAUCGGUCAACAGAAAGGGCCCAGUUCCUCUCCAUGACAACACCUGACCAAAGGUCACACAACCAAAAGUUGAAGGAAUUGGGCUACGAAGUUUUGCCUCAUCCACUAUAUUCACCUGACCUCGGCCAACCAACUACUAUUUCUUCAAGCAUCUUGACAACUUUUUGCAGGAAAUACACUUCCACAACCAGCAGGAUGCAGUAAAUGCUUUCCAAGAGUUUGUUGAAUUCUGAAGCAUAGAUUUUUAUGUUACAGGAAUAAGCAAACUUAUUUCUAGUUGGCAAAAAUGUGUUGAUUGUAAAGGUUCCUGUUUUGAUUAAUGAAGACGUGUUUGAGCCUA